CCUACGGGGGGCAGCAGUGGGGAAUAUUGGACAAUGGGGGGAACCCUGAUCCAGCCAUGCCGCGUGUGUGAAGAAGGCCCUCGGGUUGUAAAGCACUUUCAGUGAGGAAGAACGCCUGGUGGUUAAUACCCAUCAGGAAAGACAUCACUCACAGAAGAAGCACCGGCUAACUCCGUGCCAGCAGCCGCGGUAAUACGGAGGGUGCGAGCGUUAAUCGGAAUUACUGGGCGUAAAGCGCGCGUAGGUGGCUUGAUAAGCCGGUUGUGAAAGCCCCGGGCUCAACCUGGGAACGGCAUCCGGAACUGUCAAGCUAGAGUGCAGGAGAGGAAGGUAGAAUUCCCGGUGUAGCGGUGAAAUGCGUAGAAAUCGGGAGGAAUACCAGUGGCGAAGGCGGCCUUCUGGACUGACACUGACACUGAGGUGCGAAAGCGUGGGUAGCAAACAGGAUUAGAUACCCUAGUAGUC
rnacentral:rRNA from 1 species